GUGUGAUAAGAAUGGCGGAAUUUCAACCUGCUUUUGUGUUUCAACCCCUCAACGAUAGAGAUUCCAGGUUGACCAGUUUUUUUAUGGCUCACCAAUGGUCCCUGAUUAUUACCAACGGUAUUCCAUGGAAAUACUUCGUAAAAUUAUGCAAUAAACUUGUUUUAUGAACAGAU
rnacentral:lncRNA from 1 species